AACGAACGCUGGCGGCAGGCCUAACACAUGCAAGUCGAACGCCCUAGCAAUAGGGAGUGGCAGACGGGUGAGUAACGCGUGGGAACGUACCCUUCGGUUCGGAAUAAGCCGGGGAAACCUGGUCUAAUACCGGAUACGUGCGAGAGCAGAAAGAUUUAUCGCCGAAGGAUCGGCCCGCGUCCGAUUAGCUAGUUGGUGAGGUAAUGGCUCACCAAGGCGACGAUCGGUAGCUGGUCUGAGAGGAUGAUCAGCCACACUGGGACUGAGACACGGCCCAGACUCCUACGGGAGGCAGCAGUGGGGAAUAUUGGACAAUGGGCGCAAGCCUGAUCCAGCCAUGCCGCGUGAGUGAUGAAGGCCCUAGGGUUGUAAAGCUCUUUCGCCAGGGACGAUAAUGACGGUACCUGGAUAAGAAGCCCCGGCUAACUUCGUGCCAGCCGCCGCCGUAA
rnacentral:rRNA from 1 species